CAGAGGGUGCGAGCGUUGUCCGGAAUCACUGGGCGUAAAGGGCGCGUAGGUGGCGAUCCAAGUCCAUGGUGAAAGCUCGAUGCUCAACAUCGAGUCGGCCACGGAUACUGGGUUGCUUGAGCACUGUAGGGGCAGAUGGAAUUCCGGGUGUAGCGGUGGAAUGCGUAGAGAUCCGGAAGAACACCGGUGGCGAAGGCGGUCUGCUGGGCAGUUGCUGACACUGAGGCGCGACAGCGUGGGGAGCAAACAGGAUUAGAUACCCUGGUAGUCCACGCCGUAAACGAUGGGCACUAGAUGCUUGGGGGAGCGACCCCCUGAGUGUCGUCGCUAACGCAGUAAGUGCCCCGCCUGGGGAGUACGGCCGCAAGGCUG
rnacentral:rRNA from 1 species